GAAGCUCAAGCGGAGCCCGCUGGCCGCAGGGGCCGCACCACGCCCCAGACCCUGGAGUUUCCGGGUGCGCAGACCCUUGUCGUCAGCAGAGGCUGCCGCUGCGCGUCCCCUAGGCGCGGAAGAGGCGGCUGGUGGUCCCUGAUGGCAAGGUUUUAUACAUUACGAAGGCACGUUUCCAUUUCUCCUGGGCAAAUAUUUAGAAGAAAAGUUGCUGGGUAAUUGGUGGAGACAAGGUUUCGCCACAUUGACUGGGCUGGUCUCGAACUCCUGAGCUCAAGCAACCCGCCCUCCUUGACCUCCCAAAGUGCUAGGAUUACAGGUGUGAACCACCGUGCCCGGCCCUACUUUCUAUCGAAGUAGAAUAGGUAGAUCACGUUAUUAUUAACAGUAUAUGGGAAGAGGGAGGUCCUCCCAUGUUACAUUGUUCUCCCUUCACCUUCUGGGUCAUGUUGCACCACUGUUUCCCUUCUAGUCAUAUCCCAGGGGGCCUUGUCCCAUUUAUACAGCUCCAUUCUAGUGGUCACCAGAGGAAUGGGAGUAAUCUGAUUGAAAGAUAAGACAGAAGAUUGUACUCUCUUUUUUUUUUUUGAGACAGAGUCACCCAGGCUGGAAUGCAGUGGCAUGGUCAUGGCUCACCGCAGUCUUAAACUCCUGGGCCCAAGCAAUCCUCCCACUCAGCCUCCUGAGUAGCUGGGACUAGAGGCACAUGCAACCACAUGCAGCUAUUUUUUUUUAAAUUUUCUGUAGAGACAGGGUCUCACUGUGUUGCUCAGUUUGUCUCAAACUCCUGGGCUCAAGUGAUCCUCCUGCCUUGGCCUCACAAAGUACUAGGAUUACAGGCAUGAGUUACCACACUCAGCUGAACUCUACUCUUUAUGUUCAGGAAAGCACUGGAGAAGAGAGAAGACAAGAGAAACAGGUCCAUGGUGACAGGAGCCUAGGAAUAGAGCAGGCCUUCAGUCUUGGUGAAAAAAUAAAUGGUAUUCUAAGCCUUC
rnacentral:antisense_RNA from 1 species